rnacentral:misc_RNA from 1 species
AACCAUAGAAACCUGCGGAGUACCUGCGGAAGGAUCAUUACCAAGCCCGUGAAGAUCACAUUCCAAAAGAAUGUGAUCUCUCACCUGGCCACCCUUGUUUACCUUUGACCCUGUUGCUUUGGUGGGCCUGCCACAAAGGCCGCUGGGGAACCUAGUUUUCCGGGCGAGUGCUCACCAAAGUCCCAUUGGAACUCUUUCUGAAGUUAUGCAGUCUAAGCACGCGAAAAUAAAUCUAUAAAA